GACCACCCCGGAGUAGCAAGAGAGACAGAGACCGCGGACCCACAAGGCCCUCUCCCGGGUGAAUGGGAGACCGUAACGCUGACCAAGACUUGGCUUGAACAUGUUGAAAGCCAGGCUGUUGUGGGCAGCGUGGUUUACUCGGUGUCCCCGUACGUGCAUGGGGAGAAUGAAUGCCAAACUCCAUUGAAAAAUCUGGUGAUUUACUAUAUCGCCAUAUGUACAGCAUACGGCCUUUGACAUUGAAUGAAUAUGUGAGCGUUAAACAGACAAAGUAAAUAUUUGUCUACAGAUCAGCGCCAUGUUUCGGUAACAUUCCUUCUUGGAGAAACAUUUGAGCGUAACGUUAGCUUAGCUUCUAGCUACCGCCCACAGCUGUGUUUAGCUUGUGACUUAGCCACAGCACGCUAACGUUAUAUAGUAGGAAUUAUUCUCAGAGUUGACAGUUCAUAGAACCAGUUCGUGCUUUGUGCAUAAUAAAUACACCGAAUUUGAAGUGAAUUCCAACGAGUUGUUGAGUAUAUUCAGGUAACGUUGAAUUUUCGGAUAUGCGAACGUGAGCGAUAAGAGUGGCAACAUUGAAUUGCCAGAUUUUGAAUGGAGUUUGGUGUGUUGCUAUCUCCAGUACGUAUCGGGCUUAGCUAGCUAACUAGUUAGCGAGCACAUUACCUGUAGAGCAAACAUGAACCCUGCCAGUGGGUCAAACAGAAGAAACCAAUUACUGGUAUUUGGUACAACACGUAUAAUUGCUUUUUUAAAUGACAAACCAAACUUGUGAUGUAUCGAGCUGUGCCAGUGUUUGCUGUGUGUAGCGGGGCUUGCAGCAGUGCCUGCAAUGGCUGACAACCCCAGUAACACGGCGAGGUUGUUUGAUACGCAGGGCAAAUGGAUAAAAGCUUAAGGUAUUAGCAACACGCUGGGGCGUACACGCUUAUUCCAGGUAGGGCACUCGCAGCAAAGAUGCUACCAGCCUGCGAACCAAAACACAAUCUCCCUGCCAGUGCAGAAUGCAGACCAUGUUGCUCUCUGCAUUGUCCUCACACUAGCUAGUUUGGUGCGAGCUGCUCGCUUGACCAGCAAUAAUUUGACCCUGCAACACAUUGAGGAACGGUGCUAUAAUUAAAAGGCCAGUCUAGACUCAGGUUGGGGUUGUUUACUAAUAACAUGCCAGGAUAAGGAACUCCUCCCUGCAGGAUUCAGAUAUAGCUAGCAGCCAGAGAGCGGCAAGGGCUUGCUGAUGUUUCUCGUCUUUAAGGAGUUAGUCAAUAACAAUCUAUCCUUACUCCUCAACUGGUGCAUCUCACGCCUAAGUAGUUUUGAUUUAUAGCUCUGACUCUGAUUGCGUCAGCUGCAGCGUUUUUUAGGCGGGCAGCCCACCCCCACCGCUCCUUGGAUAAGGGGACCGGGGGGGGGCACAGGGUCCCCUCUCCUCUUCUUGAGCCGAUUAAUGUAUCAGGAUUGAAGCUGGCCAGCCGUUGGCCAGGGUUUGUGCACUGCACACACACACACACACACACACACGUCUCCAUUCUGUGAGGAAUGAUUAACCCACUCCAGAAGUUCUCGAGGCUGUAAUUGUCUCACUGCACAAGGAGCGUUGCUGCUCAGAGUUGAGUCCGGCAGUACGUGAUUAAAUGUAAGCAGAUGCAUGGCCUUCCCUGCCACGCCACACCCUACCCCAUAUGUCAGCUGGUGGAGCCCCCAAGCUGCACAAGUGUCCUUCACACUGUCUAGACUACUCUCGAGUGUAGCUGGACACGAACGACGCGACAUUUGUAAUACUGUUUUACAGUAUGAUCUGGGAUUGACACUGAUUUUUUUAUUUUUUUUUUAUUUGAUCUACCACACACAGAAUCAUCUAUCUGAUAAUUGACAACGUUUCAUUUCUGUAGUUUGGACCAAACUGCCUCAGAGAGCGGUGAGAUCAUUCGUGUGAUUAGAUUAGCUGUGCGUGGGUGAUUAGUCUGGAGCAAAGGUUGUCAAACUUUUUAAUCUUGCAACCCAAACUGAAUAAGUCCUGCUGUGGGACUCAUGGUGGGGCCGUGGGGCUCAUUAUAACAUAACGGGUACUCGUGUCACGUGGGGACUCGCCACAGGCAGAGACGUGGGGCUUACUGUUGCAGAAUUAAAUAAACACUAGGCUUGAAAGAUGUAGCACAAUACAUGUACUGCAAUUCAGAUGCAAUCGCACCAACCGUUGGUUUUAUUUGGAUCCAAAAAAUUGUGGGAAUGUUUACUUUGCUCCACUUUUGUAUUUAGGCUGUCCAGGUUCACACUGCCCGGUUGUAAGUUGUAGUAUUCUGUUUGUUUGUGUGUGUGUGUGUGUGUGUGUGUGUGUGUGUGUGUGUGUGUGUGUGUGUGUGUGUGUGUGUGUGUGUGUCCUAGCCAGCCUGUCAGACCGUGUUAAUCCCCUCAGAGGCCUGGCUCACCUCCUCCCGCCUUGCCCCCUUUUUCCUCUCCUUCGGGCCUCCGUUUGGUCGGUGUUUUCCUCUCAGCCAGCUGAUACGCUCCCUCACCUGUCACUCAGAGCCCGCUUUCCUCCCUGUGGUCCAUUUGCAUGGGCGGUAACCCCCCGUUGACCUCACAGGAUCAGACAGCAAUCGGGGACCAAUGACUGAGUGUUUUGCAGCACCGCUUGCUACCAGCUCCCAUGGUGCUUUGCGGUAGAUCAAUGUCUAAGUCGUGGCCCAGAAGGAGGGAAAAGGAGGAGGAACGGAACGUGUCGUGUCUGGGAGUAAAACCUGUUGUCUGCUACAUGUGGGCAGUUUACGAGAAUAUUGGAUUUGGCUGGUAGAAAUCCAUAUUGAAAACAAAGGAGAAUAAAACCAACUUUAAUGUACCCUUGCAUUGAUUUGCUUAUUUUGUAAAGUAAGGUUGUUGUUGUUUUUUUAAAGAAAGUGACCACCAAUCUUAGUUGUCAGUCGUGUAUUUAUCUGGUGUUGGUCCAUCAUGAUCCAUCACAGAAGACAUGAAAAAUGUUUAUAAACCUUCUGAAUUGCUAAGUACAGUACAUUCAUAUUUCCAUAUACUCACAUUUGACUUUUAUGGUCUACGGAGAACAUGGAAACGGUGGAAAGAAUUAAAAGUAGACAAGAUAUUUAGAAAAAUAAAUGACACCACUACAUUAUAUCUAAAUGUGAAAAAUGAUAAGUCAAUUCACAGAAAAAAAAUUACAAGUUAAAAUGCUUCUAUUUUGACAAUUAAUUAAAUCAAUCAAUCAUUGAAGUGGCUGUAGUUUUAGCAUUUUACAAAUUGACCAAAAGCAUGGAACUGCAAUUACAUGUUAAAAUCAAAAAUUGGGCUGACCCAUGGUUUUAAUGGGCUGCAUGGUGGUAUAAGAAUCUGCCUUAGUGUGUGAAAUAGUUUUUGAUUGGUUAAACCUAAUUACCAGCAUAUCUACCCUCAUACACGCCACACACAGAGCUUUGACAAACAACAAGAUGGAACACAAGUGACAUUCCACAACUUUUAAGACGGGGACCACAACAUUUUUGGCGCUGUGCCUGUGUGUUGAAAUGUUUGUUGGUCUGGCGUCGUUGGCCUGUGAAAAGUAUCAGCACAACAAACCUGAGACAGCAGAUGGUGCAUAAGGACUCAACUGGACUUUUUCUUGACUUCGUAGGAGAAAAGGGAAUUUGAUAGGGCGGAGUUGUGUUCACAUCAGCAUUUGGUUAUGCGUUUCUCUACGGGGCGUUUUGGUGUCUUGCAACUCCUUUCUUUGGUUUAAUGACCUGCAACUUCACUCUUUUGGUCCAGUCUAAAUGCUCUCAUCAGUGUAGCUUUUCAGCUGCCUGUGGAGCACCAGAUAAGACAGAUAGAGUUAGUGACAGUGGAGCAUUUUGUAGCUUAAGAAGCAGGAAAUUGAGACGUGUAAAUAGUUUGGAUAGUUAGCUAUCCACGUGUGUUGAGAGAAAAUCACGUUCUUUUUCCCGCACGAUUCAAUGUGCAGAUGGCACCAGCCUCAGGUAGCUGGCUAGUAAGCGAACGGGUAACGUGAAGCAAAGUAUCAAGGGAUAAAGUAAGCCACAGGGCGGACAACAUUUUUAUUAAUGUCGGCCACCUGUAGAUUUAAUGUUUUUCUCUAUGCUGUCGGUUAUGAAAAGACCCAAAGUGAACACUUUAAGCGGACUGAUUAUUACAACUACUCUACUACUUCUACUCCCAAGCUUUUCGAUCCAUAUAAGCGGUUGAUCACUAUAAGCCGUUUCCACUGUAUAUCAGAUGUUUUCAAAUGCUUCUGCUGUCCCCAAGUGACCACAGAUAUCAACGAAUGCUACUUUAACCUACAGCCUAGUGUUGACUAUCAUGGCAUUUGUCCAAGCAAGCACUUAAGGUUCAGUGUCUUAUCAGAUAACAGUGUGUGUAUCUUAUUUUUUUUUUAACAUGCAUUUCAUACAUCGUCUACCCAAUCUGAACAUAAAUCCUUCUGGUCAAAUGAAAGCACAGCUCGUAUUAAGUUUGCAGAGCAGUUCAAAUGCAUGGUGAGUGUGUGACUGAAUGUCAGACUCAUUCAGAGCAAAGGUACACGUCCGUGGUCGAUGGAAUACAACUUUUAUUGGCUGUUUGGCAGCAAAAUAGGCUACGAGGGCAGCAAGGGAUGAGCGGCCUGCUAAGACGAGCUGUGUGUGUGUGUGUGUGUGUGUGUGUGUGUGUGUUUAACUUCUCUCAUCUGCUGGUUGUUAGAACGCCCCCCCCAAUGGUGCUGCGCCCCGUCCUCGCCCUGUUUCUGCACAGCCCCACCCGCCCGGUGGAGAAUUUGAACAUAAAAAUACAAUAAUAGUGUGUGGGUGACCUCAGUGUGCUGGAGACUUCCCUUCACGCUGCUCCACCCGCUCAUAUUUGUUGUUCUAAGCUGUCCACCCAGUUUCAUAAGAAUGGCUUUCACAAACACACAGCAGUGCAGUAGGACAGUGGUGAUGCAUGACCACGGCUAAAGCAAGCCCAGUGUGUGUGGGGGGUUCUUGUAUCUGUGAGUUUAGGGUUUGGGUGUAAAUCUCUCUCAGGGAAGAGAAAGAGAAGAAAAUAAUUUGUCUAACUGGCUUCCCAAUAUGCGUUUUGCAUUAGUAUGCAGGUCUGUCUGGACGUUAUUAUCUGUGGCCUGUGUGUGUGUGUGUGCUUGUGUAGAAGGAGAGGCUGCAGUUCUAGCUACUGUUCCCGGUCAGUUGUUUGUCUAAGGUGGCAGAGUCCUAUGCAAAUGCACUACAUCACCCAUCAGCGCAGUAAGUGGCAGAGUUCACCGCACAACACUGUUGAUACCAGGCAAUUUAUUUAACCAACCAGAGGAAAGUAUUUGAAACUUUUCUGCGACGGACUGCUAGAAUGUCCUGGUGCACUAGAUCCUGCAUAUGUGGGGAAUUGAGCUCAGACCAGCGCUUCUCCUGCUUUGAGCCAGGCCUCUGGUGAAGGCCGGAUGAUGUCAUCUACUAAUUUGAAUACUUGUGGCAUCAGUUGCAUCGGUUCCACCAUAUCUGCAACUUUCAUCAAGACAUUUCUAAUCCCAGUUAGAAAUAUGCACCAAGCCUCAUGAUGACAGGUUUCAGAUUCCUUUCAGACAAGUUGUAUCUGUACAUAGAUGUAGCUACAUUUGUUGUAUUAUAGUACAAGGUUGUGUGGAAAGUUUAUAGGUCUGGUGACAUGUAGAAAUAUAGGAGUCAGUACAAGACUGCCCACACAAAAUGAUGAGGCUUGUGCUGAGUGGCUUCCAGCUUAUUAAAUGUGAGUUUUCUGCAGGUUUUUUGUUUUAUUUACUGUAAAUUGAAUAUCUUUCUGUUUUGGACUUUUGGUUUAGGGUUGUUUGAAACCCAGCGGUGAAAUAGUGAGGGUGUGACAACAGAGCCACGCGAUUUUGAGAUCCUCCUUCGGGUCCAAUUUGUAAUCAUCAGGGCCGUGAGAUUCAGGUCAGGAGGAUGAGGAGACUUACUUUGCUUGUACCGAGUUUUAAAUGUUUCCCAGUAUUAGUGGGGAUUAAUGUACAGAACUGAAGUUCUAGCUUAUUUCUGUUCUUUUGGUUCGUCUUUUACACUUGCAACAGUUUUGCUGCGGCAGCACAUUUGGCUCCCUCCAUUCUUUGUUUGUCCACCUGUCACCUGAGAACCGGGCAUGGCCCCGCCCACCAGCGCCAUGGCAACAUGACACCCGGCUGUGAAGUGGUUGCCAUAGCAGCGUUCAGUGACUUGUCGGUGUUGGGUUUCCGUCGGUGGAUCUCGGGAGUGUCAGCUGUUUGUGGACAAGCACCCAUCGGUGCCUCAGUCUCAUGCCGACCCUAGACUAGAAGACUUUGAAGACUUUGAAAAGACUAAUAUCGGACAAGACAAUGAGCAUCAUUCACUAAUAUGUGUGUAGAAACGUCUUUACUUACAGUUACAGAGACGCCCCCAUCUCUCUAUUUAAGUAAAUACGCUUGUUGCUAACUUCGAGGCUAACCCCCUUCACUUUAAUCAUCAAGACAAAGUAAGUUAGACCGGGUCUCCUCACUGGUCUUGAGGAGUUAUACAUAAACCGUACACACAUUGCUCUCUUCUUCCAGGACUUUCAGCCGUAUCAUCCAGUCUUCAGCAGAUGGAACUUUAAAUUUCAGUGUCUACAGUCAUGAGAUUGAGUUUGCUUUUCUUCAAAAGUCUCACAGAAUAAUGGGAAAUGUGGGACAGCUGGGGAAGCUGUGUCUGCCGAUGAAGACCAUGAGAUGUGGGUGAAAGCCGGAGUAAGUCGACUUUUGCGUUGCGAUCUUGUCGACAACAAAAUCUCUGCUUCAUUUAAUCACUGCUUCAUUAAGUGAUUUACCGGUUUUAGAUUGCACCUUCUCCAAAUUGGGCUUAACGCUGAGCAGCUAAACAAUUAUACAGAAUUUGUACACAAAGAAAUCUCAUACAUUUUCACGGCAGCCUUAAUAACCCUCACAGUCACAGUGUGAGGGGACACCACAAAAACAUCUUCAAAAAGAAAUGGACCCGUUUUACUGAGAUGCACUUUCACACGGGACUAAUUUGCGGUGGAAUUUUUACUUUGCAGAUUAACGACAGAGCAGAACCCCCCCAGGAUUAAGCGUGCAGAUGACCUCUGUGGUUAUUAAGACUCUUAAGAGGACCCCAGAUAGUACUGGUCCUGUGUGAAUCGGGCUUUAAAGGCACACACUGCGGUUAAUUACUCUCGAGGUCUUUGAAGUACUGUUGGUAAAAGAGGAUGGACGUGCGGACACCCUGAUACCAGACGGGUUUACUACAUGACUGUUUCGGUCUCAUAGUUUGCCACUUCUUCCUCCCCCCCUUUUCACCCAAAGUCACUCCAAGGCUGUGAGAGAGAUGUGGGCCGUCCUGCAUAAUUCAACGCCUCAUCCCAAGCGUUUCUGUAUGCGUGUGUGUGUUCGUGCAUGUGUGCAUGCCGCCUUCCGAAGACUGCUCCUCUAUUCUCCGCACGUUAGUUGGGACCUUGUAAAAAAUGUCUGGUAAGGUCACAGUUGUGCUCACGUUCGUGUGUGUGUGUGUGUGUGUGUGUGUGUGUGUGUGUGUGUGCGCACGCACACACAUGCAUGUGUUGUAUGUAACUCCAUAGCCCUGAUCACAAGGUGCCAUGUUUAACCAGCCCCACCCCCCUCCCCAUAACCACUGCAGACCGUUAUUGAUCUUUCUUGUACAUACAUACACACUUGGAUACACAUAAACACGCCCAGGAGCAUGUGUGACCUUUCUGGUCUCUAUGUUCUCGCUCUCGCUCUCUCUCUCUCUCUCUCUCUCUCUCUCUCUCUCUCCUUGUAUAGUUACCGAGAAUGAGAGUGAAAAUAUCAGUAAAUGGAGCAGAAGUGAAUGCUUCCUCUCAUUAUCCAGUUAGUUUCUGACUCUCGCUUUGAACGUUUCAACCAGAGUUCAACCGAUAUGACUUUGUCACGGCUAUUUUUGGAUGACUGGAGUACCAUCGUGUUUUAGUCAGAGGUCUCCCUGUUAAUGUUUACCGUUGUUGCAGAUUCCAUGCUUUUCUGUCAUAAAAUCAGGACACUCUGCAUUUCCACAUGACUAAUUCCAUUCAUUUGCACUCAUUCAGGUUGCACUGUUUUAUGACCGGUGUUAAGCUGUUAUUAGUGAAACUCAACAAUUCUUGUGCAGAUGUCAGGGGUAAUAAACUAAUUCUACAUCUAAGGAAGCAUACUCCAGUGUUUUUAAUCAUAUCAUAUCCAGGCCAAUAUACGGCCAAUAUCAAACUCGCGUCUUCUUGUCAGCUAUUAAUUGCAAUCAAGUGGUGACCUCCGGUUCUGUAAAGUGAAGCCAAUGCCGGAGUGCCUUAAAAGUGUAUUCUUUCAGAUGGACACCAGUGGCAGACGCCUCUGGGUGCAAAAAGAAGUUUGAUUGUUUAGACGUCUAUGAGAAAAUGACCCUACUCCUCACUUGAUUUAUUACCUCAUUAAACAUUGUAAACAUGAAAUUAUGGUCUCAAUUGCUAGUUUCAAGUAUUUUCCAUCACAGCAUGGUGUUCAUUUUUAGGGCUGUUCUUAAACAAAGAUUCUUAGUCGACUAACACUCAUACAAUUUUGUCGACUGACCGUUUAGCUGAUUUGCUCUGUAAAACAAAAGAAUCACACAGUACCACUUUAAAUCCUGUUUGCUAGAUAUGUGCUCAUAAGUUUCUUAGAAAUAUAUCAUACAGCUUGACAUCAGCAUAGAAACGGCUAACCAACUGAAACCAUCUUAUUCGACUAAUACCAAAACUACCAACUACCAACUACCUAUUCACUACGUAGGUUAUGGCUCUUUUUUUAUAAUAAAACGGAUGAUUAAGCAGAGUGUGCUUUUAGCUACAUUGUGAUCGCUUCUACGGCGUCCGUUUGAGGGUUGUCCGUGUUUCAUCUUAGAGCUUUAACCCUUUAAACAUGUGUUUUAGUUGAAAGUUAAUUUGAACAUUUUGGCUGCCUAAAAAUGUCUUGCUCAUUGUUCGGAUGGCGAAAGGCAAAACGUUAGGCUUCAUAACCUUUGUCCAAGAAACGAUGGGCGAUCACACGGUGACUUCAUCCAUUCCUUCUACACUCUGCGGUUGCAUGAUUGGAAGUCUAGAUUCUAACUGCUAUUAUAAGCUACUCGCAUUUUUGGAAACACAGACCUAUGAAUGCACCAGCACAUUCUGUAUUUCUGCACACUCCAACUCGUAAUAGCAGCAUCGCGCUGUGUUCUGUUUUUGUCUCUUAACUUUGAGCCGAACCCGCGCUGUUCAUUGGAGAACAAUGGCUGCUCUGUGAUUGUCAGCAGCCUGGGCCUCUACUUAACGAGUUGUUUGUGUGCCAUGUCAACAUGGUUAAUGGGAAUUUGUCUCAGUGCAUCUCUUGAAAACAGACAAAAGAUAUAGAGAAAACAUUUAUUACAUGUACAUCAGCUCCUUUAUGUAGCGUGGAGAUAGCACAUUGGUGCUACUGCUGCCAUGAUGGUUAACGCUGCCGUCGCCUUGGUCAGCGUAGCUGUAAAGGUUGUUAAAUAUAUCAGGAGUACAUGUGCAGACAUCUUCACGGCAGUCUCUACCGCCAUCGGGAGUUUGAAUAAUGUUUUGAUCUGAACGAUCAAUCAAAAUGAAUUGCCAUUUCUUAGAUAAUCAAUUAGAUAAAUUUAAGUCAGCAGUCAAGCAAAAACCCCAAAUAGCAAGUAAAGAGGAGGUGCGUUUCUGAGUUUUAUUUCUUUGUAAUUUGAAUAUCUUUGGAUGGACAAAACACGAGAUUCGGCUCUACGUCAUGUCUCGUAUAAGCUAUGGGGUUCACUCUGCGUCUGUGUAU